AUGGGAAUUUCAGAACAGGUCCAUCCAGAAACUGUGGAAGAAAUUGUUUAUGAAGCUAGGCGGCGGGGGCUAACUAGCUUGCGGCUAUCGUACUUGGAUUUGAUUUGAGAUAGGAGUGCAGGAUUUGACGUUGAUGAUUUGUAUUUUCAUAUACUGAUGUAAUUGAUUGAAGCUGAAGCUGAAUAUGACAUUGUAACAGUUAGUUUUGCAAUUAUUGGAGAAGGGAGACAUUGUAACAGUUAGUUUUGCAAUUAUUGGAGAAGGGA
rnacentral:misc_RNA from 1 species